UACGUAGGUGGCGAGCGUUGUCCGGAAUUAUUGGGCGUAAAGGGCGUGUAGGUGGGAUAGUAAGUCUGCUUUAAAAGUGCGGGGCUCAACCCCGUGAUGGGGUAGAAACUGCUAUUCUUGAGUGCAGGAGAGGAAAGCGGAAUUCCCAGUGUAGCGGUGAAAUGCGUAGAUAUUGGGAGGAACACCAGUGGCGAAGGCGGCUUUCUGGACUGUGUCUUACACUGAGGCGCGAAAUCUAGGGGAGCGAACGGG
rnacentral:rRNA from 1 species